UGUGAGGGAGAUGGUUUGAAUGAUUAAAUCUUUCCUUUCUUAAGGCAAACUAUAAAUCUAGAUCUAGACUAGCAAUAGAACCUCAACUUGCAUGCAGGCUAACAAUAAGUUGAAAUCACCUUUCAGUAUAACACUUUAAAAUUCAAGUUGCUUUUGUUGUUAUAUUAAUAAUUAUAUCCACUGCAAAAAUACCAUGCUGAAAAGCUAGCUAUAAAACUGUGAAGCCAUAAAAGGUAUACAGGUAAUAUAUUUUCCAGCAAAUCUUUGACAUUGUAUAUACCUGCAUACAUGAUGUAUCAAUAUUCAAUUAAUAUAACCAAUCUUUGAUCAAUUUACAAGAGAAUUGAAAACUGCAUGUAUGUUGGCUGUGAUUAAAUAUCUGAUCAAUACCCAUGCAGUAUAUAAUAGUUAUACAACAUAUUUCAAUUCUGAUUGCUUCUGUAUUCUGGCCUUUAAGGCAUGUCAAACAUAAGUUAGUUUUGGUACUACAAAUAAAUUCAGUGACAAUUCUCAUUAUAUAAGUUUAAAAAUACAAACAUGAUUGCAUGAUAUCAAUGAUUGUUUCACAAUUAACAACUUGGGCUACAGAAAUUGCCCAGUAUUUAAAUCAAUAAUCACAAUAACACUACAACUGAGCAACCUGCUGGUGAAAUAUAUUUCCCCCUACCUAUAUGUAGGCCCUACAGAGGUUCACAUGUAUAUACUGUAGUUUCUGAACAAGUUCUGCCUUCUUGAAAAGGUCAAUGAGUCCAUUUGUUUUCAUACACAUAGCAUAAUUCCUUCGCUACUUGUAUAAUUUGUAAUUCCUCUGCUUACUCCGUGCUAUUGCAGUAUGGAAGCAUUCGAUUUUCCGCUCCUAUAGUCCUAAUUGCAGCAUUAUUGGGUUCAACAAACACAUAUAUGCAACUACAUGCACCAACAAUACGUUUGAACUAUUUUCUUGUACACAUUCAUAUAUACUUUCUUUCCAGCUUGUAACUCGUGUCCUUACUGCUUAUGGAAGUAAUCCUCUUGUGACGCGCCUUCAUUGUUGUUAUAACUUAUAAAGUUUAUAGGCUUAUAGAUUCAAUCCAUCCAGUGCAAACAAAAAUUCGCACGCAAGCUAUCAAAUGUAUCCAUAAUAAAAAUCGUUGGGACUGAUUUGAAUGUUGUGACUUGUGUUGGACAGUCUUCCCUGACGCUACACAGCGGUUUGACAAGGAUCAUUCAUUUUACAUCGAAUUCUUGCCUCGGAGUACACAUAAAAUGUCCGAUAAAAACGUGGCUGACAUCAACCUUUAAUACCACAAAACAUAGAACUAUAUAGUUAUAGAACUUAUAGAACAAAUAUAGUACAAAAUUUUUUAAAUGGAAGACACUUAGUACCACAAAGGGCAUUUUAAAGUGUCGUAUUUCCG